UGGGGAAUAUUGGACAAUGGGCGAAAGCCUGAUCCAGCCAUGCCGCGUGUGUGAAGAAGGUCUUCGGAUUGUAAAGCACUUUAAGUUGGGAGGAAGGGCAGUAAGCGAAUACCUUGCUGUUUUGACGUUACCGACAGAAUAAGCACCGGCUAACUCUGUGCCAGCAGCCGCGGUAAUACAGAGGGUGCAAGCGGUAAUCGGAAUUACUGGGCGUAAAGCGCGCGUAGGUGGUUCGUUAAGUUGAAUGUGAAAGCCCCGGGCUCAACACGGGAACUGCAUCCAAAACUGGCGGGCUAGAGUAGGGCAGAGGGUGGUGGAAUUUCCUGUGUAGCGGUUAGAUGCGUAGAUAUAGGAAAGAACAACAGUGGCGAAGGCGACCACCUGGGCUCAUACUGACACUGAGGUGCGAAAGCGUGGGGAGCAAACAGG
rnacentral:rRNA from 1 species